rnacentral:tRNA from 1 species
GGUAGUGUGGCCCGAGUGGUCUAAGGCGCUGGAUUAAGGCUCCAGUCUCUCAGGAGGCGUGGGUUCAAAUCCCACCACUGCCA